GUGGUAGCUCAGCGACAGAGAAUCUGCCUUGCAUGCAGAACCUCCCAGGUUCAGACCCUGGCAUCUCCC